GAUUAACUAAUGCGAAAGCAUUUUGCAAAGGUGUUUUCAUUAAUCAAGAACGAAAGUUAAGGGAUUGAAGAUGAUCAGAUACCGUCGUAAUCUUAACUAUAAACAAUGUCGACAAAAGAUAGGAUUGAUUGUAUAAAUAUAUAAUCUUUCUUAAUAAAAAAGGUACUUAAAUGAGAGAAAGUUUAAUUUCUAUCAAAUGAAAAUUAACUUCUUUCUGUAACUGUCUCUUCCUGAAUUUCGUAAGAAAUUAAGAGUGAUCGGACUUUGGGGGGAGUAUGGUCGCAAGGCUGAAACUUAAAGGAAUUGACGGAAGAGCACCACAAGGUUGUGGAACUUGCG
rnacentral:rRNA from 1 species